rnacentral:rRNA from 1 species
CCCUAUGGGGUGCAGCAGGCGAGAAAUGUGAUAGCAUAUCCAGGGGCGAUGAGAGGCUCCUCUCUUCUUUGAGGCUGCUCAUCUGCCUUCAGGACUAGGCCAUGGGAUUCGGGGACAAUCAAAGUGACUAUGAUGAUCGAUGCUAUUCCCAGUAGGGUCCAGAAGUAGAAGGGCGCUUCGAGCCCCAUCUGGUCAUAGAGCGCUCCCCCCAUAAAUGGCCCUAAAGCCAGGGCGGAGUAAAGGGCAGCAUUGUAAAAGCCCAUGGCUGCUCCUCUGCAGUGGGCCCGAGACUGGGCAAUGAUCAUGGCCAUGGCAGUGGGCCAGACGAAGGCGGCACCGACACCCCCCAGAGCUCUUAUGAAUAGCAGGGUAUAGGCGUUAUCGGCAUAGAUGUACAGGGGCGGGAGAGC